AUUGAACGCUGGCGGCAGGCCUAACACAUGCAAGUCGAACGAGUGGCGGACGGGUGAGUAAUGUCUGGGAAACUGCCCGAUGGAGGGGGAUAACUACUGGAAACGGUAGCUAAUACCGCAUACCAUCAGAUGUGCCCAUAUGGGAUUAGCUAGUAGGUGGGGUAACGGCUCACCUAGGCGACGAUCCCUAGCUGGUCUGAGAGGAUGACCAUCCACACUGGGACUGAGACACGGUCCAGACUCCUACGGGAGGCAGCAGUGGGGAAUAUUGCACAAUGGGCGAAAGCCUGAUGCAGCGAUGCCGCGUGGGUGAAGAAGGCCUUCGGGUUGUAAAGUACUUUCAGCGAGGAGGCGUUACCCACAGAAGAAGCACCGGCUAACUCCGUGCCAGCAGCCGCGGUAAUUC
rnacentral:rRNA from 1 species